rnacentral:rRNA from 1 species
AGAGUUUGAUCAUGGCUCAGGAUGAACGCUGGCGGCGUGCCUAAUACAUGCAAGUCGAACGCUUUGUCUUUAACUGAUAUGAAGAGCUUGCUCUGAUUUGAUUUUAUCUGACAAAGAGUGGCGCACGGGUGAGUAACACGUGGGUAACCUACCUCUUAGCAGGGGAUAACAUUUGGAAACAAGUGCUAAUACCGUAUAAUACCAACAACCGCAUGGUUGUUGGUUGAAAGAUGGUUCUGCUAUCACUAAGAGAUGGACCCGCGGUGCAUUAGCUAGUUGGUAAGGUAACGGCUUACCAAGGCAAUGAUGCAUAGCCGAGUUGAGAGACUGAUCGGCCACAAUGGGACUGAGACACGGCCCAUACUCCUACGGGAGGCAGCAGUAGGGAAUCUUCCACAAUGGGCGCAAGCCUGAUGGAGCAACGCCGCGUGUGUGAUGAAGGGUUUCGGCUCGUAAAACACUGUUAUAAGAGAAGAACGGCACUGAGAGUAACUGUUCAGUGUGUGACGGUAUCUUACCAGAAAGGAACGGCUAAAUACGUGCCAGCAGCCGCGGUAAUACGUAUGUUCCAAGCGUUAUCCGGAUUUAUUGGGCGUAAAGCGAGCGCAGACGGUUAUUUAAGUCUGAAGUGAAAGCCCUCAGCUCAACUGAGGAAUGGCUUUGGAAACUGGAUGACUUGAGUGCAGUAGAGGAAAGUGGAACUCCAUGUGUAGCGGUGAAAUGCGUAGAUAUAUGGAAGAACACCAGUGGCGAAGGCGGCUUUCUGGACUGUAACUGACGUUGAGGCUCGAAAGUGUGGGUAGCAAACAGGAUUAGAUACCCUGGUAGUCCACACCGUAAACGAUGAGUGCUAGAUGUUCGAGGGUUUCCGC